rnacentral:rRNA from 1 species
CACGAUAAAGCUUGCUUUAUUGGUGGCGACCGGCGAACGGGUGCGUAACGCGUAUGCAAUCUGCCUUGUACAGGAGGAUAGCCCGGAAAAAUUCGGAUUAAUACUCCAUAGCAUUAUUUGAUCGCAUGAUUGAAUACUUAAAACUUCGGUGGUACAAGAUGAGCAUGCGUCCUAUUAGCUAGUUGGUGAGGUAACUGCUCACCAAGGCAACGAUAGGUAGGGGGUCUGAAAGGAUUAUCCCCCACACUGGUACUGAAACACGGACCAAACUCCUACGGGAGGCAGCAGUGAGGAAUAUUGGUCAAUGGACGAAAGUCUGAACCAGCCAUGCCGCGUGCAGGAAAAAUGCCCUAUGGGUUGUAAACUGCUUUUAUUUGGGAAGAAACCUCCUUACGUGUAGGGAGCUGACGGUACCAAACGAAUAAGCACCGGCUAACUCUGUGCCAGCAGCCGCGGUAAUAC